rnacentral:rRNA from 1 species
AUACGUAUGGGGCGAGCGUUGUCCGGAAUGAUUGGGCGUAAAGGGCGCGUAGGCGGCUCGGUAAGUCUGGAGUGAAAGUCCUGUUUUUAAGAUGGGAAUUGCUUUGGAUACUGUCGGGCUUGAGUGCAGGAGAGGUAAGUGGAAUUCCAAGUGUAGCGGUGAAAUGCGUAGAGAUUGGGAGGAACACCAGUGGCGAAGGCGACUUACUGGACUGUAACUGACGUUGAGGCGCGAAAGUGUGGGGAGCAAACAGGAUUAGAUACCCUGGUAGUCCACACUGUAAACGAUGAAUGCUAGGUGUAGGGGGUAUCGACCCCUUCUGUGCCGCAGUCAACACAAUAAGCAUUCCGCCUGGGGAGUACGGCCGCAAGGUUGAAACUCAAAUGAAUUGACGGGG